UCACGUUCGUCCUCCUCCAGCGGCUUGUCCUCGGAGCACCGGGCAGCCCACGCCGAAUCUCCUGCUAGCAGGAGAGCUCCUUGCCUGCUAGGAAUAACCGCUCUACACUUGAUGGGAGAAGGAAGCUUCUCCUGUGUUGGAACCAUGCUCUCCGUUUGGAAUCCUGUCACAGCAGGGAACGGGGAGGAGCAGAACCAAGUCUGAGACCCCAGAGGAGGCAAAACCACAGAGACUGAGUGCAGACCAGCGGCUGCGAAGACGCACAGAUGAGUGAGGACAAACCGCUCCCCGGAUGUGGGCUUUCCCGGCAAGGGGGAAGGUUCUGGAGUCACAGAGUGGGGCUGGCUGCACGGACCGCGGAGAUGGUAUAAAAGCGACAACGCUAAAUUACGCCAUGUGAAAUGGCAGAUGUCAUGUCAUGUGGAUUUUAUCUAAUUUAAACUCAGGUUUGAUUUAAAGAAGAAGGAGAGGAUGAAGGCAGAGAAGGACUCACUUUUCGGUCCCCCUCACGUCUCUUUUCUGACACAACCACAUGUGCGUGGGGAGUGACAGCCUCAGCACGGAGGUCCCCGGCCAGUUCAAGGCGGUCGCCGGCUGGCUCCCAGCCUGUCCCCGCUCGGAUGUCAGCACGCGGGGAGACCUUCCAGCGCUGGUGUGAGCUCGGCCCAAUUCUGAGGGAGGCCUGCAGUUCACACCCGACUAGUCCGCCUGGCCCACCCGGGCACUGGGCACAGACUCCGUCCUCUGGCCAGGACACCCGCGGGCCACCUCUUCGCCAGCUCCCUCUCGCUUUCAUCGUCCCCCCCUCAGAGCUGAAGCCUGGAGUCUCGGGUGGCCCCGGGUGCCUGUGCGCCGAGCGUAGCUGUGGCCUCUCUCUCAGCAAACUCCUACACGGCCCCCACAACUGCUUUCCUUUCAUUAAAAUAGUCUCUGGUCGCUAAGGCAACAGGAUGCUUCCAUCUCCCUGUGAGAUGAUGUCGAAAGAGGAAGAAACAGAUCAGAUGCUAAAACCACAAAGAAAACUCUAGAGAUAUGGCGCCGACACCAACCCCCUACGCGGGACCUUUCAUCUGGGGUGCGUGGGCUGGUCCCCCGCAGUCCUCGGCCCUCCCUCACGCCCCCUGCUGCCCUCGGGAGCCCACUCUACACGCCACUUCCUCCAGGGCACCUGCCGCCGUGGAUUAUCCGCGGCGGCGCCGCGGUUACAGAGAAGGAGCUCGUGGCCUGGUGAGGUCCACAGGAUCUCAGAGCGAGGCAGGCAGAAGAAUCCGUGAUGGCAAGGCCUCCGGAGAGCCUGGCGGAUUCUCCCUGGGAGAAGAAGGAGUGUGCAAAGCAAUUCCUUAGAGCCUGUGAUAUAUCUGCUUCUAGCUUUCUAAACUCUGAUGAUGUGAACUAAAUACUCUUUACUGAAACUGUAUCUCCUGUAUAGGACAUUGAGGUAAAUCAGGAAAUUAUUUUAUGAUUUGACUUAAAUAAAACUGUUAAGACUUUCAACUUUGGGAUAAGAUAAGAAGUAUCUGUGGGUGUUGUCCUUGACCCAAGACACUGUAAAACUAUGUUUACGGGUCGGGAAAAGGGGCCGUGGUCAGACUGUUAUAAAAAAGCAUUGAGACAGGCUCGGAGUGUGUGACUGCUCUCUUGAGACCACGUACUUCAGACCUGGGGGGAAAGAUGGUCGGUGCCCGCAGUCUAGCACCCGCCUGGUAGACUUCUGCACCUUGCCAACAAGCCAUGAUUGUACCUUCUGAAAAUAUGAUGCCCUUUUGUGAUUCUGUUAUCGUUCACUAUAUGCGCAGGAACAGACCCUACUUAAUGACUUUCGUUCCUGUUUUUGAUUUUCUGUUUUCUGUGCCAUGAAAUUAAGCCCUUUUCCCAGAACAUGUUACUCUUCACCUAAAUAUCAUUCAUCUUUUAAUUACAAUCAUUGAGUCACUUCACUAUAUAAGCAUCUGAGAAACCAAGUAAAGUGUGGCAUCACCACCAUU